rnacentral:lncRNA from 1 species
AGUUGCUUUAUGACGCCGGGCGCGUGCGCAUUUAAAACAAUUCUCGAAAGAAAUGUUCACAAAUUAGUUUAAAUUCGAAAACGUUUCGGUAUGGACGCAAGAAAAAGGAAUUCUAAGAAAUAGAAAUUCUAAGCGAAACAACAACGAAAAAGGAAAAUAAUUUAAAUAGGGAUAAUAAUAUACAAAAACAUAACAACAAAAACACAACGGUAUUAAGGAAUCUGUUUCAGAAUUUCAGUGAGUUAAAUCUGUUAAAAAGUUCUGCGGUUAAUUUGUUUGUUUCUUUAACAAAAAACGUAAUCUAAUAUUUUAAUUAUUAUCAUCAGCUCAGCAGCAGUGUAGAAUAUAUUGGCCUAAAAUACUAGAUAUUUUAUGUUAAUAUAUUAAAUUCGAGUGACUUACGUCACCCAAGAUUUUGUACAUUUUCAAGCGAGCAUUGGACUGGGUGUUAAUUAUUUCUAUGCCGGUUUGCUGCAAGUAUUUGUUGUCAUUGAUCAAUUAGCUUCCUAGCUUUCAAGCGAACGGUCGUGUUUUUUUUUUGCGCUCCGAUUCCUAUUUUGUGUUUGUCAAACCAGCCAAGGUAUUUAAUAAUUUAAAUUUAAAUUUUUUAAUUUAAUAAUUUUCUUUCAUUAUUAUACAUACAUGUACAUAUGUACAUAUAUGGUCAACAUAAUUAUUAAAGGUGAUUCGCAGUGCUGUUUGGAGUUGUUUUUGUAUGUACAUAAACUGCACUGUGCACCUAUUCUCUCGCUCCCACUCUUUCGCUCUCCCACACAAAAUCUAAAAUUUCUGACUGCUCUCUUGCGGUUCUUUUAACAGCUCGCUUAAAUGUUUUGAUCUUGUGUGUUUUGCACAGUGGUCUGAUUUUAGACAAACAUGGAAACAAUAAAUGUUGUCUGCUUGUAUAAAAUUUUCUUCAUUUGUGUUUCUUUAUUUUCUCUAUUGUUCUUAGUAUUGAUAGUUCAUUUACGGUUUUGUGAAGGCGUUCUAUGUCUGCUAUUGCUGUUUUACUUGUGGUAAUAUCUAUUUGUAUGUCUUGGUUGUUAAGCCAAAUUUUUAAAUAAGUGCUUAAAAACCGCUUUAAUUUUC